rnacentral:lncRNA from 1 species
CGGGCACUUGUCCAUUUUUUCUGCGAGGUUGUCGAGCACUUGCUCCUUUUUAUUUCCUCGAAAUAUCUUUAUUUUUGCAUAGCCCAUGCCUCUAAUGCAAUAAUACUUCAGAAGAGUGAAACUUUCUAAAUAAAUGUCUUGAUCUUAGGAGUAUGAUAAAUCUCUCAACAAGGGUCUAACUCAUUUUGAACAAACUCAAUAUAGAGCAGAUAGCUUUUAUAAUUAUUAUAUUAAUAUUUUCAGGUUUAUCAGGCAUAUAAAACACUGAGGAUGGUAGCUAGAAUUUUAAAGAUUUUGAAAUAAAUUCUCCAAGCAACAAUGAUAUCAAGAAUAAGAAACUCAUACUUUACGAUCUCACAUUCCACAAUGACUUAAGUAACACAGGGUUUUAAAAUGAUUUUUCAAUAAUUGCAAGUUUAUAGGAAAUAUCACAGAGUGAGAUUAAUCAUGAUUAGAAAUAUUUUAAUCUUUUUAAUUUAUCAUGUCGGAAACAAUAUUCUGCAUAUUCCAAGAUAUAUAUGUGUAUGUGUAAAGUGUGCAGAGUGUGUACCUCAAUCGUGGAGUGGUGUAGUCGAAGUGUGUUUGGCGUGUCAAGGGAUCUCCCCCAUACUUGUUUUCUGCUUUCUUGCACAAAAAUAAAGUAGAGACACACAAGACAUAAUAAUAAUACUCUUUAUUAAUC